AAAUGACUCUCGGCAACGGAUAUCUCGGCUCUCGCAUCGAUGAAGAACGAGCGAAAUGCGAUACUUGGUGUGAAUUGCAGAAUCCCGUGAACCAUCGAGUCUUUGAACGCAAGUUGCGCCCGAAGCCACCAGGCCGAGGGCACGUCUGCCUGGGCGUC
rnacentral:rRNA from 1 species